rnacentral:rRNA from 1 species
AAGCUCGUAGUUGAAUUUCGGGGUUAGUAGGUUGGUCAUGUCUCUGGUAUGUACUGGUCUCACUGAUUCCUCCUUCCUGAUGAACCUUAAUGCCAUUAAUUUGGUGUUUUGGGGAAUUUGGACUGUUACUUUGAAAAAAUUAGAGUGUUUAAAGCAAGCUAACGCUUGAAUACAUUAGCAUGGAAUAAUGAAAUAGGACGUUCGAUCCUAUUUUGUUGGUUUCUAGGAUUGACGUAAUGAUUAAUAGGGAUAGUUGGG